CCGAGAAGCGGUGCGUCGUCCGCAGGGGCCCGGAGCGUCGUGGGAGCGAGCGUGUGGGGCCGGCCCGGCGGGAACUACAGCGUGGCCACUCCCCAUGUGUCCCGGGAGCGCCGGCGGCGUGGGCCUGCGGGUCCUGGCGGGCCCAGAAACCCCGGCAUGCACUGCGAGAUCCCGGCAUGCCGCGCAUCACCCCGCCCCCCGCCGCCACAACUCCCUUGGUGCGCCAGGGCCCAGGGUAGUUAAACUAUGAGUCCCGGCAUGCAACGCGGGCCGCCGUCGACUGCCCAGUCACGUGCUGAGGCCCGUUGUGGAGAGACUGCGAGUUCCGUCAUGCAACGCGCACAUCGGGGAGUUGCGGUCCCGGCAUGCCGCGCGCAGUCCGGGGUCAGAGGGCGGCGGGUUCCCCGUCCCGCUGGGCACUUGGAUCGUGGGGUUCGGGGCGCUGGCUCCCGGUGGCGCCUGGCCAGUGCCCGCGCGGGGGGAGGUCCCGCGGAGCGGCGGGUCAGUGAUGACCUUCCUAGCGAUUUGUACAGCUUGGCGGUUCCGGCCGCUGGGCCCCCUGGUGCCUGGGGCGAGAGGGCACCAGCGGGGGAGGAGGCCGGCAAAGGGUCACAUCGGCCGCCGGGCUCCCCAGUCCGCGUCAUCGGGGGUAGACCGGGCGGAGGGGGCGUGCGGCCGCCCUGCAGACCUGGCAGUCCUCCGGGCCACGCUCGCCCCGGGAGCAGCGUCUUCCCCGCCCCCGUGCGCCCUGGGGGCUGGCUCCUCAGACCAAGCUGUUGUCUGGCCGCAGUGGGGUUUGUCCUGAGCGCCAUUGCACCGAGCCGGCUUUAUGCGGUGGGAAAGCGGAGGCAGCAAUUUCAAAGCAGGGUGGGGAUUCCAGACGCAGGGACGUCGCGCUGCACGUUGAACUUGGCUGCCUGCAAGUCACAUAAGGUGUAGCGACUCCCCGCAAACGUGGUACAACGAGUCAGUUCGUCAGCCCACAGCCCUGUCGGAGGCAGCUCUCCACGCCUGCUGCUCUCCGGCACCGGAGGGCCUCGAUUCUGUGCAGGGAUGGUCGCCUGGGGCGACCCUUCGGGCAGCGGCCUCCCACUACCGGCAGACGUGGAGGGGCGGCGGAAAUACCUGCGGCUCCUGCGAUUAUCAGCGCCUGGCUCUCCCGGGUUCCCAAGGCCUUACGGGCUAUCGCUCCUUGUCCUGCCGGCCUGUGCUGGUUUGGGUGAUCUCUGGUCUCAGCCAUGCCCUCAGCUGCUUUCCUGCUUUCCUGGUUACAUCACUACUCGGCAUGAGCGACUCCACCUUGCUCUCUGCAGAUGAGUUAGAAGUCCACUGUGGAAGGAAGCUGGCGACAGUCACAGUUGUGUGGCCGUUAAGGAGCACUCCUCAACUUACCGAACAAAGAGGAAAUCACGAGAAAUGAGAAGCCCGUGAAUGAAAACAAAAACACUAAAGCUUGUGUGCUGCAGGUAACGAAGGGAGGGACACGUGUGACCAAAACACCCACGUUAAAAAAAAGAAAUCUCUCAAAUCUAGUCUUUGACCAUAAGAUAUCAGAACAGAAGAGGAAACUAAGCACAAAGCAAACACACAAAAAAUAUUGACUAGAGCAGGAAUAAACAGAAAACACAAACAGUAGAGAAAUCCUGCAAAACCAAAAGUUGAUUCUUUGAAAAGAUCAACAAACAGCAAAACUUAAGCUGAAUGGACCAGGUGAAAAAGAGGGAAACCUUACUGAACUCAGAGAUUAAAGGGAGAAGAGCAGCACCGACUUUACAGAAGUAAAAAUGAUUGUGAGGGAAUAAUAGGGACAACUGCAUACCAACAGUUUAGGUAAUUUAAUCGAAAUGGAUAAAUCCCUGGAAAAGCAAAAAUACAGAAAUUGAGGAAGAAAUAGAACUAAUCUCACUUUGUCCAAGUGUUACUAGAGGGCUCGUGCACUCCAGAUCUUCCAAAGAGGGUGUUCUCUUGCCUUGGUCCCCACCUCUGAUGCUUCUAGUAGUUUCCAGAAGCUUCUUUCAAAGCCCCUAAGUCCUCAGGCUGGGCCAGGUGUUGAAGAAAGCCACACUCCCUAGGGAGUGUGAUAGCGGCUUUUCCUCUGGUUAUCCAAGAAGCAGGGACACCUUCCUAAAACGAGUCAUUUUUCUGGAAUCAAUGCAGUAGAGCCUUGUGGUGAAAAGACGUGUUUUCUGCUAACAUGACUUUCUUUGAUCAUGGUCCUCAGAAAAGAGCAGCACAUUUUCCAUAUUGUUGCCAUGAGGAGCUGUUGGCUCUUCCCAACCCUAGUCUACAAGAAAAGAGCCACGUGUGGUAUUCACUGGAUUUUACUUACCUUGCAGUUGUGGCAUUUUCAUAGAUUUCUGAUUCCCGAAUCCUCUUCGAAUGAAAGGAGGUGAUCCUUGACCCCCUUACCAUCCUCGGGCCACCCCAGCUGUCAUAGAAACAUGCUUUUUCAGCCUCUGGCUAUUUCAAGUUCUCCAGCCCCUACCCUCCCGAAGCUUUCCUAAAACAGUUCUAGAAGCCUGAAGAGGUCAAUCUGUGAUGGUCCAAAGAGCCUUCUGGACUCCUGCCAGGUACUGUCCCAAGGAGAUCCUCAGGACUCACUUCUUGGUCCCCCUUCUCCCUUCUGCGUAGGUCUGCCAGGCCUGAUGCUCCUCACGGACACACCAUGCAGCUGUCCUGGUUGUCCUAGCAGCACGCCAGCAUCAUGUGUAGAGGAAGCCUAGAGCUCCAACGCCUCAGCCUUCUGUAGGUGUACUUCGACAUGCUGUGUUGUGUGUGAGUAAAUCUCAGCCGGCUUACGGGAUUGGCGCUCGUCUUCUUGCAGCUUCUGCUGGAGGGAGCCAGUGGCACACUGUGAAUUGUGGGCAGUGACAAACAACCGGAGAACGGAAAUGGCUCUGGUGGUCUAUGGGAGAAAGCAGAGUCAGGGACGAGCCACCGUCCAUGCUGUGCGGCUGCUGAGAGCAGUGCGCGGUGGAGGCGAGAGCCGCCGCUUAAUCACGGACGGGGUCUACGGCAGAACCCACGCUCCUGGCCUGUGGAAAUCUCUAGGGGGCACUUCAGAGCAACCGGGACUUUUCCAAGAGCAUUUCCAAGAGCACUUGGCAGCAACCAGGUGAUCAGGUGAUGGGAAAUAGGCCGUGAUUCUUCCUGCUCUUGCUCAUCAUUGUUCUGCUUCCCAGCAGAGGGAGAUGCUGUCGAGUGUGGAACCCUUCUACAGGAGUAUCUAGGGGGUCAUGACCCUAGUGGCAGCCCACAGGGUUCGAGGGUCUCAUUGGUCUCAGAUUCCCACCAGGUAUGUUCAUUGCAGCAGGUAGACACGGCCCUGAGGUCUAAUACUGUGGAGCAUUCCCCUGUGGCUCAGGUUUGUUUAACUUUUUAAAUUAUCAUCUCAAGUCAGGUGUGAAGAAAACAUAUUUUGAGAGUGAAUCUGAUUCUCCAAGCCCCAAGUUUUCAUUUGAAACGCUGCUUUAUUGGUUCAGAACUGGGUAGUAAGCCUUUCUCCUAGCCCAAGAGCCUGCAGGCGGCUCUCAGCUUUCCCAGCACCCUGGUGGUCCCCCAGACAUCCAGCACCCCCACUGCAUCGCACGGAGCGAGUGCACCAACGGCCCUAACACCCUCGCUGCACCCGGCACGUUUCCUCCGCAAGGCAAGGGUGAUAGGCUGUGACCGCUGACUCUGGGAAAAGUAUAUAUUUUUGGGAAAAUAAGCAUAGUGCUUAGUUGACUUUACAUCAUGAGAUGGGUGGUGGUCCAUACGGCUUAUGAGUGGAUUUUUUUUCUGUUCAUUAAAAAAUUCCUGUGGGAGCUUACUGCUGAUUUAAUUUUGAUGAUUGGUUUAAAAAGAAUCCUUAUCAUUUAGAGAUGUACACUGACACGCUUAGAGAUACAGUGGUCCGGUUGCUGCAGACCCUGGCUUGAGGAACGGCCCUAUCGCUGGAGCGAGGGGCUCUCUGUACCGACGGUUUUAGGAGACGGGUACAAGCAGCAUCAGUAUCUUCGCAUAUGUUCUGAAAACUUUCAUAAUAAAAAAUGUUAAAUGCCGUGUCAGAGGAAACAAUCUUCCUGUAUAAAUUCCACGUGUAACUUACAUACAAAUUACCUUCUAAUUUGCUUCACCCCUCACGACUGCCAAGUUUCCAUCACAGCCACUGGAGACAGUUUAUGAAAAAUAGGUCCUGAGAUGAGCACCUUCAUGUAAUUCAAAACAGAGAGCGGGGUGGAGUCAUUGCCUGUCAGUGGUUCCCGGUUUUGAAUCCAGCACACGACAGACGUGAGAAUGUACUACAGAGUUGAGAGAGUCCUUAAUAGAAAGAAAUCUCUCUCCAGCGACUCUUUAGGGUGUUAUUUUGUGUUACAUUUCACCAUGUAGACCGUGAGCGUCCUGCAGUUUCGAGUUCUACCCCACUGAUCUUUAUGGCCGUCCGUAUGCUGACACCAGCUGAUCUUGAUUCCGGCAGCUGUAGCGUAAGCUUGAAAGUCGAGAGUGGUGUUGAUACCAUGUGAAAAUAGGAUUGAUUUUUUUGCAUAAUGAUCUUGUAUCCUGCCACCUUGAUAAGAUGGUUAUUGCACUAGGAGCUCCUGUACGAUGCUGAGUAGAAGUGGGUUUUGUGUCAGCGCUCCUGAGACUAUGGUGUGACGUUUUCCUGUAACGUUUUGCCUGGCUUUGGUGUCAGGGUGAUUCCUGUGGGGCUCUCCCGAAGCCCCAGUUUCGCCACAAAGACUUGGGUGCUCCACCAAGACACAGAGUAGACCUCGGCUGUGGGUCCCGGCAGCUGUGCCAGCGCGAGCUCCGGCUACAUCCCGGGGGCAGGUGGGGGUUGGCGCUCUGUCUACCCCAUGAGGGCACUUUCUCUCUGAAGCUUACAGACAAGGACGACGAGCACAGCCAUGAAGACGCAAGCUGCAGCGGUGGCAGGUUCUCUGGAGACCGCAGGGCCCUAUUUCCAGUGCAUUUCAGUGGGAGCACCCACCCUCCUUGCAGGACAGAGGGAGGCCACUCUGAGUGUUCUCUCUCCCAGAAGACGUGCUGCGCACACGCGGCCUUGUUUUCCACUUUACCCACACCUGUAGCUGUGUAAGCCCGAGGCUGCGUCUCAGCUGGAAAAUUAACACUUGAAUCCUAAAUAAUAAUAAUUACUGUUUCUGGUUA